rnacentral:rRNA from 1 species
AUUGAACGCUGGCGGCAGGCCUAACACAUGCAAGUCGAACGAGUGGCGGACGGGUGAGUAAUGUCUGGGAAACUGCCUGAUGGAGGGGGAUAACUACUGGAAACGGUAGCUAAUACCGCAUACCAUCAGAUGUGCCCAGAUGGUUUUAGCCUGUUGGUGGGGUAACGGCUCACCAAGGCGACGAUCCCUUGCUGGUCUGAGAGGAUGACCAGCCAAACUGGAACUGUGACAGGGUCCAGACUCCUACGGGAGGCAGCAGUGGGGAAUAUUGCACAAUGGGCGCAAGCCUGAGGCAGCAAUGCCGGGUGUAUGAAGAAGGCCUUCGGGUUGUAAAGUACUUUCAGCGGGGAGGGGGAAGAGGAAGAAGAAGCACCGGCUAACUCCGUGCCAGCAGCCGCGGUAAAG